ACAGGGGUAAGAAACAAUUCUCUUUUGCAACCCAGAACUCAUUGUUUGGUAUGAAUUUUGACACAAAUAAAAAGGAAAAUU
ensembl:snoRNA